rnacentral:rRNA from 1 species
AGUGAACGCUGGCGGUAGGCCUAACACAUGCAAGUCGAACGGCAGCACAGUAAGAGCUUGCUCUUACGGGUGGCGAGUGGCGGACGGGUGAGGAAUACAUCGGAAUCUACUUUUUCGUGGGGGAUAACGUAGGGAAACUUACGCUAAUACCGCAUACGACCUACGGGUGAAAGUAGGGGAUCUUCGGACUUUGCGCGAUUGAAUGAGCCGAUGUCGGAUUAGCUAGUUGGCGGGGUAAAGGCCCACCAAGGCGACGAUCCGUAGCUGGUCUGAGAGGAUGAUCAGCCACACUGGAACUGAGACACGGUCCAGACUCCUACGGGAGGCAGCAGUGGGGAAUAUUGGACAAUGGGCGCAAGCCUGAUCCAGCCAUACCGCGUGGGUGAAGAAGGCCUUCGGGUUGUAAAGCCCUUUUGUUGGGAAAGAAAAGCAGCAGGUUAAUACCCCGCUGUUCUGACGGUACCCAAAGAAUAAGCACCGGCUAACUUCGUG